rnacentral:misc_RNA from 1 species
UCAAACUUGGUCAUUUAGAGGAAGUAAAAGUCGUAACAAGGUUUCCGUAGGUGAACCUGCGGAAGGAUCAUUAUCGAGUUUUGAAAUAUGGGGUUGAAGCUGGCCUUACGAGGCAUGUGCUCGCCCCUGCUCAUCCACUCUACACCUGUGCACUUACUGUAGGCUUCAGGAGCUUCUCGGGCUUUCAUUAGCUCGGGUUGUAACUGAGCUUACGUUUACUACAAACAUCAUAAAGUAUCAGAAUGUGUAUUGCGAUAAACGCAUCUAUAUACAACUUUCAGCAACGGAUCUCUUGGCUCUCGCAUCGAUGAAGAACGCAGC